UGCAGGUGGAAAAAUCUAGUAGGCAAUGGGAAGUGAUGGGAGCUGUCACUGCUCAUCUGUGAGAGCGUGUAAACUGGGGUCUCGGAGGACACGCAGAGCUGGUGGGGUGGGGUGGGCUGAAGCAAGGGUGGCGCAGGGAUGCAGAGGUCUCUUUGUGGCUUGUUCCGUGAUGGGUGGGGGUGGAGCGGGGACGCAGAGGUCUCUUUGUGGCUUGUUCCCUGGUGAGUAAGCCUUGGCCCUUUCUGGCUGACAGACUUGCAGCGUGGCCUGCAUCCUGAGGCUUGCAUGCUGUGCAUGGAGGCUGUUAGCACAGGCGGGCCUGGGCAUGCUUAGGCCCACAUCCUGCAGGAGAUGAUGUCAGGCAUCACACGUGCAUCAGCUGCCCCCGCCUGGGGACCUACUAGAAUGUCCCAUAGAGUCAUGGGUGGCUGCCACUGUCCAGGAGCGUUCAGAGCAGCCCCGAGUCUGAGGCUCCAGAAUGUGCUUGGCCCACAGUCCCCAGGGAGUGCUUGUGAAAGACGCACUCGACUGUGGGCACCAGUGACCCUGUUAUCACCAGUGACCAGGGAAGAAUGGUCCAUCUGAUCAUCUUGUACAAAAACGAUUUUGCCCAUUGAUGUUUCUGUCACCCUCAAAGCAGACGCCCCAUGCAGGGUGACGCAUGCAGCGGCUUCCCCCAGCCGGAGGGCCGAGGCCCCACCAUGCAUGUGGCUCUCUCUGGCGCCGUCUCACCGGGGACAGGGCCUGGUGUCUCCCAUGCUCGCAGCAGUGACGCAAAGGGCCGGUCCCUGUGCCUUUCUCCUCACAGGUUCUGUCCUCGGUGCGUUCAGGAGAAGAGGAAGAAGAAGUAGGAGAGGCUGUGUCCCUGGCUGCAUCCCCAGAGGAGCAGGCGUGAUCCUUCAGCACGCUGCAGUGUCUUCUUUCAGUUUAAGACCACCUUGUUUCAAUUGAAUAACUCAGUGGCCAGUUGUAAUUCUGGAUGUUUCCGAAAACAAGAAACCACCAAAACCUGUUUGCACAGAGGGUCAGUCUUGCAGGGGCUUGCCACAGUGACUUUAUUCUUGUGACUUUCAUCCAGACUCCCCUGCCCCGAACGCGGCAAUUGCUGAGUGAGCCCAAGGGGACUCGGAGAGGGGUUGGCAAACUUGGGCUGCUAGGCGGACACAUUUUAAGCCGGCACACUGCCACCACUCUGCAGUCAGAGGGUCGACCUCUCAUGGUCAUCUGUAGUUUACUGGGACUCUUUUGUGCAACACGGGGCUCCCCAUGUCCCCAGUGCCACCGUAAGCACAUGCGUCACUCAGUGAGCCGCGUGUGCGGAGGGCCCAGGGCAGCGCUCACCCGGUGGCUGUCCACACUCCGCUCUGACUCUGAUUCCGGCGACCGUGGACUCUCAGCGAGGACACCUGUGACGUGCCUGGGAAGGGCUGUGGGCUCCUCCCGGGAGGAAGUGGCCCUGCCUCCCUGUGCACUGCCCUUUUAGUUUGGACUUGCGGCCCUCCCUUGGCCGGGUUUGCCUCCUCGGCCAAACGGCUCUUUGCGAGCCAGGAGCCAGCGGGCUGUCGGUCCCGUGGCCAGCACCGAGCAUCCGGGCCGAGGCCGCGGCUCUCUGGGAGUUCCUGAUGUUUUUACUGUGAAGAUGGAGUUACUGUAGUAGCAUGAAGACCGUGGGGUCUGUGUGUCUAUGAAGUCGACUAAGCUGAUUUUAAAACUCUGUUUAUGCUGCAUGUCACUCGACCGGCAGCUUAUGUCCAAGGGGACUAUGGUUGUGUGAUGUGAUUGUGAGCUCGUGUGUGCAGUAGCAGCUCCACAGUGAAGCUGCGAAACUAGAGCGUCCUUCGCGUUUAAUCGGCGUUCACCAAACCGAUUUUGAACCGUCUUUUUGGUAGUAGUUGGGGAAAAAUGCAUCCUUUUGGUCUGUCGAGACACAUUUGUGAUGGUACCUACUGUGUGACCUCAGAGAGCAUCUUCAGACUCUCCGAAACCUCUGGCAUGCGUUCGGAGGAGUUAGAGGAUUCCCGAAGAACUCAGGGGAACCUGUUCCCGUCCUCACACCAGGAAAAGAAACCCGUGAGAUAGAAGUGAAAUGUGAAAUUCCCAAUUUAAGAAGAGCCUCCUUUUCUUUAUGAGGAGGGUCAUCUGGAGUGAUAGACUUGUUUCCUUCUGAUGGCCCCGUUAAUAGUAUACUUUCCUCCUAGUUUUUAAUGUUUCACUGAGGAGAGGAGAUAAAGCAGAAAGGAACUUGUGGAGCUCUGUAUCCUAGACAGUGCCACCCUGCACAUAAGUUAGCAUUCAGUAAACAAGAACGUCAAGGGAUGGUGGCGGUCAGGGUGGUCUCCAGAUCUAUGACUGUCAGCAGUUCUUUGUCCCCGCAGGGCCUUCUGACUGCCAGUCCUUUCCAGGAGCGAGCCAGGGCGCUUGCCGUCACCUGGCUGUGGGUGUGGGUGAGUUGGUGGGUGCUGACGCUCCCAGGUGUCAGGUGCUGGGCAGGUGAGAGGGCACGGCGGCUGCUGCGGUCCCUCCCUGUCGGCCCCCCAGGUCUGAGGGAGCUUUCUGAGAAUGGAUGCCAUGCUGUGGCCCAGAAAGAAGAGGGUCGGGCUGGCAUCAGCAAGAGCCGGCUGGUUCUCUGCUUCACACCCUCAGUCUCAGCUGUGGCUGUGAGACUAGAGAUGUGUUUUUAUUUAGUAACUUAGCUUUUUGUUAACGCAUGUGUUUAAAAAUGAAAGACUCUUUUACCAUUUUUUGUGGAGAGGAAUAGGUAAGUGUAGGGAGUUUUUAAUAAGGCAAUGCCUGAUGACUCUUUAGAAGCUAAUUUAAUGCUGAGCAGUUCACACCCACUGUUACCACCGGGAGAUGGUGUGUGUUGACGUAAGGUUUUUGAUGGCUGCUUUGGUUUCGAUCGAUGUCUGGCUUCCUGAGGUCUUGCCGAGUCCACAGGGACAGCUGUCUUCUGUUCAUGAAGCUUCUGUUUAACACGUGAUGCUGUCUUCUCAUCUGUCACUGUAUGUCAGCCCAUGUCUUGUUUUUAAUUUAAAAAAAUUUUUUUUCUAUACUUAUCUGUUUUUAGUGUUUAUUUUUGCCAGUUACAAUAAUAUCACCAAAAUAAUAUACAUAUAGCUUUGGAAAAACCCCAGAAAACAUGAGAAUAGGAAAAUUUCUGGGGCUGGCUGGUUAGCUCACUUGGGUGAGUGUGGUGCUUAUAACACCAAGCUCGAGGGACCCCCGUACUGGCCAGCUGCAGAACAAAAUAAAAAGAAAAUUUCUUGGGCCGUUGUUUGGAUCCUAACUGAAUGCCUUUCCUGAUGGUCAAUACUGUCUGUGAGUGGGAAAGACUCUCAGGAAUGGCCCUUCAGUUGGAAAAGAAUGCCUUGUCACCUGGCUUGGCUUUGGCCCUGCAGGGACACAGGAGCCAGGCUGCUUGCACUGUCUGAGCAUCACUCCAGAAGGCCUGGCUGCCCUCGCUCAGGGGCUUAGUCCUGGACCAACCCCCACCCCCACACCUGCCUGGCACUGGACCUGACCCUGGAGGUGGCCGAGGAACCAACUCCGUCUCUUGGAUUGAGGGAGUUCUCUGCUGGACCUGAUGGCCGUGCUGCACUUGCCUGCUGACCUGUCCCUGGGAGCCCUUGGCAGGGACUGCUCUGAGCAGUAGUGCCGCCCGAAGAGCAGCUUCCCCAGAGGACCACAGAGCCACGGUGGGCCCUGCCACAGGAUCUGCAGAUGAGGUCUUCGUGGUUUAAAAUGACACAACGAGGGACAUUUAUUAUGGGCAUUGAAGGUUUGUUUCCUCAAGUUUUUAGUGAACAGUGAUUGGUCUCAUUAUGUGUGCUGAGAGGACUUGUAAAAAGGGGAGUCUGAGAAAAAUGUCAUUCAGGGGAGAGUUCUGUGAAGUUUCUUUCUUCCUAGGUAUGUAUUUUGUGGUGUUCACCUUUACCACAUUUCAUCCAAAAAGAUGAUGCAGCUUUAACAUGAAUGUUACAUUUUAUUUUCAAGGAAUUAUUAUCUAUGUUCCCUUUGUAAAGGAAAGAUGAUAUUGUAAAUCUUUUUAUUAAAUAAUGUAAAGAUGUAUAUCUGUAUUUUUGGAUCAUGUUAUAGAUUAUGGAUAUAUUGUUUAAUAAAUAAAAUAUUUUUUUGGAACAAA